GCCGCAGCCCUUGGUGGGUCCCUCCUGUUCCUGCUCCUGCUCGUGGGAGGAGCUGUGGGCUGGCACCGGUGGAACAACACGGCUGCCAGGAAACAGCAGGAAAGGGCCCCCCCGGAGCCCCCGGCCCCCCCAGAGGAGGGGGAGGUGCUGUACACCCACGUCGUGAGCACCAAGCAGACGGGGGUGUCCCCAAGUGCCACCACACUCCAGGACACUCAGGUGACCUACGCUGAGCUGGCAGCCACCCAUGGGCGACCAAAGACAACUGAGGACAUCUAUGGGAAUGUGCUGUGAUACUGGGAGCACUGGGA